UCUAAUAUGGCAGAUUAGUGCAAUGAAUUUAAGAUUCAUAAAUAAAAGUUUUUUGUUAGAA
rnacentral:tRNA from 1 species